rnacentral:rRNA from 1 species
UGGGGAAUAUUGCACAAUGGGGGAAACCCUGAUGCAGCGACGCCGCGUGAACGAAGAAGGUAUUCGUAUCGUAAAGUUCUGUCCUAUGGGAAGAUAAUGACAGUACCAUAGAAGAAAGCUCCGGCUAAAUACGUGCCAGCAGCCGCGGUAAUACGUAUGGAGCGAGCGUUGUCCGGAAUUAUUGGGCGUAAAGGGUACGCAGGCGGUUUAAUAAGUCGAAUGUUAAAGAUCGGGGCUCAACCCCGCAAAGCAUUGGAAACUGAUAAACUUGAGUAGUGGAGAGGAAAGUGGAAUUCCUAGUGUAGUGGUGAAAUACGUAGAUAUUAGUAGGAAUACCAGUAGCGAAGGCGACUUUCUGGACACAAACUGACGCUGAGGUACGAAAGCGUGGGGAGCAAACAGG